rnacentral:rRNA from 1 species
AAUGAACGCUGGCGGCGUGCUUAACACAUGCAAGUCGAACGAGGAAGGGAUUGCUUGCAAUCCUGAGUAGAGUGGCGCACGGGUGAGUAACACGUAGAUAAUCUACCUCCAAGCCUGGGAUAACUAUUCGAAAGGAUAGCUAAUACCGGAUGAAGUAUGUUGGCAUAAGUUGAUAUAUGAAAGAUUGCCUCUUCUUGAAAGCAAUUGUUUGGAGAUGAGUCUGCGGACCAUUAGUUUGUUGGUGGGGUAAAGGCCUACCAAGACUGCGAUGGUUAGCUGGUCUGAGAGGAUGAUCAGCCACACUGGAACUGGAACACGGUCCAG